GAUGAACGCUGGCGGCGUGCCUAAUACAUGCAAGUCGAGCGAACGGACGAGAAGCUUGCUUCUCUGAUGUUAGCGGCGGACGGGUGAGUAACACGUGGAUAACCUACCUAUAAGACUGGGAUAACUUCGGGAAACCGGAGCUACUACCGGAUAAUAUUUUGAACCGCAUGGUUCAAAAGUGAAAGACGGUCUUGCUGUCACUUAUAGAUGGAUCCGCGCUGCAUUAGUUAGUUGGUAAGGUAACGGCUUACCAAGGCAACGAUGCAUAGCCGACCUGAGAGGGUGGUCGGCCACACGGGAACUGAGACACGGUCCAGACUCCUACGGGGAGCAACAGUAGGGAAUCUUCCGCAAUGGGCGAAAGCCUGACGGAGCAACGCCGCGUGAGUGAUGAAGGUCUUCGGAUCGUAAAACUCUGUUAGUAGGGAAGAACAUAUGUGUAAGUAACUGUGCACAUCUUGACGGUACCUAAUCAGAAAGCCACGGCUAACUACGUG
rnacentral:rRNA from 1 species